rnacentral:rRNA from 1 species
GACGAACGCUGGCGGCGUGCUUAACACAUGCCAGUCGAACGAUGAAGCGGGUGCUUGCCCUCGUGGAUUAGUGGCGAACGGGCGAGUAACACGUGAGUAACCUGUCCUUUUCUUUGGGAUAACGGCUGGAAACGGCUGCUAAUACUGGAUAUUCAGGCUGCAUCGCAUGGUGUGGUUUGGAAAGGUUUUUUCUGGGAUUGGGUGGGCUCGCGGCCUAUCAGCUUGUUGGUGGGGUGAUGGCUUACCAAGGCUUUGACGGGUAGCCGGCCUGAGAGGGUGGUCGGUCGCACUGGGACUGAGAUACGGCCCAGACUCCUACGGGAGGCAGCAGUGGGGAAUAUUGCACAAUGGACGAAAGUUUGAUGCAGCGACGCCGCGUGGAGGGUGUAGGCCUUCGGGUUGUGAACUCCUUUUUCUCGCGAAAAAGGCACAGUUUUGGCUGUGUUGAUGGUAGUGGGGGAAGAAGCGCCGGCUAACUACGUG